UACGUAGGGUGCGAGCGUUGUCCGGAAUUAUUGGGCGUAAAGAGCUCGUAGGCGGUCUGUCGCGUCGGUCGUGAAAACUUGGGGCUUAACCCUGAGCUUGCGGUCGAUACGGGCAUGACUGGAGUUCGGCAGGGGAGACUGGAAUUCCUGGUGUAGCGGUGAAAUGCGCAGAUAUCAGGAGGAACACCGGUGGCGAAGGCGGGACUCUGGGCCGAUACUGACGCUGAGGAGCGAAAGCGUGGGGAGCAAACAGG
rnacentral:rRNA from 1 species